AUGACGGUGGCGGUGAUGGCUGUCUUACAAAUGGUGGCAUCGCCGAUCCUGAAGAAGCUCCUCACUGAUACUUCGACGUACCUCGGGGUUGACAUGGCGAGUGAGCUCCAUGACCUUGAGACCACCAUCAUGCCACAGUUCGAAUUGAUGAUUGAUGCGGCUAACAAGAACAGCCACAGGGCUAAGCUGGACAAAUGGAUCCAAGAGCUCAAACAAGCCUUCUUCAGCGCAGAAGACUUGCUGGAUGAUUAUGAGUAUAACCGCCUUGAGAGCAAAGCGAAGAGCGGGAAGGAUCCCUUGCCACGACAUGCCUGUACCACCAGCACUAUUAUGAAGCCUGUGCAUUUUGUGUCCAACCGGUUGUCAAAUAUGUCCUCCAACAACAGGAAGCUAAUUCGCCAACUGAAGGAACUGAAGGCCAUUCUGGCAAAAGGCAAGGAGUUCCGUGAUCUUGUUUGCUUACCAGCUGGCAACACUGCAGAGGGCCCUGUUGUACAAGCAGCCGUUGUUCCUCAGGUCACAUCAAUUCCACCUCCGAAUGUAAUAGGUCGUGACAAGGAUCGCGACAAUAUAAUAAACCUUCUUACCAAGCAGGUUGGUAUUGAGUCUAGUUCAGCUACAUAUUCGGGUUUGGCUAUUAUUGGAGCAGGAGGCAUGGGAAAAUCCACCUUGGCACAAUAUGUUUACAAUGACGAGAGGGUAAAAGAACAUUUUGAUGUCAGGAUGUGGGUGUGCAUCUCACGCAGACUUGAUGUUGAACGUCAUACACGGGAGAUUAUCGAGUCUGUGGUGGAGGGCGAAUGCCCACGUCUUGGUAAUCUUGAUCCUCUCCAGUGCAAAUUAAGGGGCUUGCUGCAAAACUCAAAGAAAUUCCUGCUUGUAUUGGAUGAUGUUUGGUUUGAAGAAUCUGGCAAUGAGAUGGAAUGGGAGCAACUCCUGCGUCCAUUAGUUUCUGAGCAGACUGGAAGCAAAGUUUUGGUGACUUCUCGAUCGAAUAUACUUCCAGCUUCUCUUUACUGUAACAAGAUUGUUCCUUUGGAAAAGAUGGAAGACGCCGAGUUCUUGACACUCUUCAAAAAUCAUGCCUUUUCUGGAGAAGAAAUCGGAAAUUGUAGGCUACGUCAGAAGCUAGAAGAGAUUGCAGAGAAGAUUGCCAAUAGACUGGGACGAUCUCCUUUAGCAGCAAAAACAGUGGGUUUACAGUUGAGCAGGACAAAGGAUACCACUUCAUGGAAUUAUGCUCUAAAGACGGACAACUUAAAUGAUCCCGGGAGAGCUCUGUUGUGGAGUUAUGAUAAGUUAGAUCCACGUCUGCAGAGAUGCUUUCUAUAUUGCAGCUUAUAUCCAAAAGGCUAUCGCUAUAACAUGAGGGAGUUGGUUCAUCUGUGGAUUGCAGAGGGAUUUAUUGAUUCGUGCAACGAGAACAAAAGAGUGGAAGAUAUUGGAAAAGAUUACUUCAGUGAGUUGGUCUCUGUUUCAUUCUUUCAAUCAGUUACCGAGAUAAACUCUACUACAUCCUAUGUUAUGCAUGAUCUUAUUCAUGAUUUGACACAGUCACUCUCUAUAGAGCAUUGUUUCACAUUGGAAGAUGAUAAGAUGGCAGAAAUACCAAGCACUGUUCGACACUUAUCUGUUCGUGUUGAGAGUAUGAUACAGCAUAAGCAAAGCAUUUGCAAGCUACAUCAUUUACGUACUAUUAUCUGCAUUGAUCCAAUUAUAGAUGAUGUAAGUGAUGUUUUUAGUCAGAUACUGCGGAAUUCGAAGUUGCGUGUACUAUAUUUGUCAGUCUUCAACAGUGGCAAGUUGCCAGAAUCAAUAGGUGAGCAGAAGCAUCUUAGGUAUUUAAACAUGGUCAAUACGUGGAUUUCUGAAUUGCCAAGAUCAUUAUUUACCCUUUACCACUUACAGUUCCUUAAGUUCAGUCCCAAAGUUGAGAAUUUGCCUGAAAAUCUUUGCAAUUUAAGUAAGCUGUGGUAUCUUGAAAGGCACAGUUUGUAUGGUAAUAGAAUAAAAGAUCCAUACAACAAUGCUCUGCCUCAAGUUCCUAACAUAGGCAAGCUUACUUUGCUCCAAGAACUUAGUUAUUUUUCUGUGCAAAAGCAGAAGGGAUAUGAGUUGUGGCAGCUGAGGGAGAUGAACGGCCUUGGUGGCUCUUUAAAUGUUACACAUCUUGAGAAUGUCACAAUGGAUGAAGUUUUGGAGUCAAACCUACACCAGAAAACUCAUCUGGAAAGCUUGCAGCUUGGCUGGAGUUAUAUGGAUGACAUAAAUGUAGAGGACAGUUUACACCUGAAGAUUCUGGAAGGCCUGAUGCCACCGCCUCAACUUAGGGACCUCGCAAUUGAAGGUUACAGAUCUGCAAAAUAUCCAGGCUGGGAAUACAGAAGCCUCGUUUACACAAUUGUUAUCAAAUCUUCCUUUGAUAUCAAGUGA
rnacentral:rRNA from 1 species